GGCGGCGUGCUUAACACAUGCAAGUCGAACGAUGAACCUCACUUGUGGGGGGAUUAGUGGCGAACGGGUGACUAACACGUGAGUAACCUGCCCUUGACUCUGGGAUAAGCCUGGGAAACUGGGUCUAAUACCGGAUAUGACCUUCCAUCGCAUGGUGGUUGGUGGAAAGCUUUUGCGGUUUUGGAUGGACUCGCGGCCUAUCAGCUUGUUGGUGGGGUAAUGGCCUACCAAGGCGACGACGGGUAGCCGGCCUGAGAGGGUGACCGGCCACACUGGGACUGAGACACGGCCCAGACUCCUACGGGAGGCAGCAGUGGGGAAUAUUGCACAAUGGGCGCAAGCCUGAUGCAGCGACGCCGCGUGAGGGAUGACGGCCUUCGGGUUGUAAACCUCUUUCAGUAGGGAAGAAGCGUAAGUGACGGUACCUGCAGAAGAAGCGCCGGCUAACUACGUGCCAGCAGCCGCGGUAAUACGUAGGGCGCAAGCGUUAUCCGGAAUUAUUGGGCGUAAAGAGCUCGUAGGCGGUUUGUCGCGUCUGCCGUGAAAGUCCGGGGCUCAACUCCGGAUCUGCGGUGGGUACGGGCAGACUAGAGUGAUGUAGGGGAGACUGGAAUUCCUGGUGUAGCGGUGAAAUGCGCAGAUAUCAGGAGGAACACCGAUGGCGAAGGCAGGUCUCUGGGCAUUAACUGACGCUGAGGAGCGAAAGCAUGGGG
rnacentral:rRNA from 1 species